rnacentral:rRNA from 1 species
GAUGAACGCUGGCGGCGUGCCUAAUACAUGCAAGUCGAGCGAACGGACGAGAAGCUUGCUUCUCUGAUGUUAGCGGCGGACGGGUGAGUAACACGUGGAUAACCUACCUAUAAGACUGGGAUAACUUCGGGAAACCGUAGCUAAUACCGGAUAAUAUUUUGAACCGCAUGGUUCAAAAGUGAAAGACGGUCUUGCUGUCACUUAUAGAUGGAUCCGCGCUGCAUUAGCUAGUUGGUAAGGUAACGACUUACCAAGGCAACGAUGCAUAGCCGACCUGAGAGGGUGAUCGGCCACACUGGAACUGAGACACGGUCCAGACUCCUACGGGAGGCAGCAGUAGGGAAUCUUCCGCAAUGGGCGAAAGCCUGACGGAGCAACGCCGCGUGAGUGAUGAAGGUCUUCGGAUCGUAAAACUCUGUUAUUAGGGAAGAACAUAUGUGUAAGUAACUGUGCACAUCUUGACGGUACCUAAUCAGAAAGCCACGGCUAACUACGUG